GGGUGGUCAAGGAAGUUGUAUUUUGGGUUGGCAGAGCUACGUGGAAUGCACUGAAGUCUAGCAAAUCCCAUCAUCAGCAGACAUACAGUCCCACUGGGGUGACGUGGCUUGGGAUGUUCUCAAAGCCAUACAGAGAGAUCAUAACCAUGACUGGGGAGUGCCGAGGCCAGUGACGUUGACUGUGGGCGCGUGGAUCAGCGGGAGACAAGUUGGCACCAGGAGAAAGGAGGAUGGCCCGUGUAUCCGGUGUGUGAACGUCGGGAAAUGUGGCGUGUGGCACGUCUGUUCACAUCCUUUUCUGGGAGUGGGGGCCAGGUGAAGCGAAGUUGUUGACGGCACUAACCUGCAUAUGACAAAGCACCGUAUCUCCUGUGGCAAAUCCUGUCAGAAAAUCCAAGGCAAACAUUGGAGAAGGCUUGAAGAAACACAUACUAAAGCAGAUGACACCGUGUGGGAGGAUUGCUCUAGAGUUGGAUGAAAGUACAGAUGUUUCAUACAAGUCUCAACUUAUGGUGUUUGCCAGAUUCUGCUUCAGUAAUGAAAACAGGAAGGAUUACUUUUUGUGAGUCACUGAAGGGGAAAGAUGUACUGGAGAAAAUAAACUUUUAACAUCAGCUAACUAGAUGAAGAAGUCCUGUGAUCGUAAAACCUGUAAUGCAACAAAUUACUAAGGAAAAAUUGAAUAGAGCUAAUUAAUAAAAAUUUAAAUCUUUGGUAUAACCAGGUAAAAUAGGACCAGAAUUUAAAAACAAAUAAACUAAAAAACAAGCCAAAAAGCAGUCACCAAAUACGAACCAUACAGAACUGGUUCAAACUGAUGAGAAAGAUGCAAGACCUCCCCUCCUCCCCAUAUAAUGUUGGACAGGGGAGACAGGCAGAAAAUGUGUAGAAGGAAAAAUGUAUUGAGUUGAACCAUAUAAAAUCGCAAAUUUUGUAGGUUAAAAAAUAACUAUUUUUGUAGGUGAUAGGCUGCUUAAGCCUGUAACAAGAGAUUGAUUGGUAAUCAAAAACUUCCCACAAACAAAAGCCCAGUACCAGAUGGCUUCACUGGUGAAUUCUGCCAAACAUUUAAUAAAGAGUUAACACCAAUCCUCUACAAACUCUUCCAAAAAACAGAAGAGGUGGGAACAUUUCCCAGCUCAUUUUGUGAGGCCAGUAUUAAUUACCCUUAUACUGAAACCAGACAAUAACAUCACAAGAAAAGAAAAUUACGGACCAGUAUUCGUUAGGAAUGAAUACCGGCAAACUGAAUCCAGCAACAUAUAAAAAGGAUUAUGUACCAUGACUAAGUAGGAUUUAUCCCAGGAAUGCAAGGGUGGUUCAACAUGUGAAAAUUAAUGUGAUACAUCAUAUAGACAGAAUAAAGGCCAAAAGCACAAUAUUCUCAAUAGACACUGAAAAAGCAUUUGACCAAAUCUAACACCCUUUCAUGAUAAAAAACACUCAACAAACUAGGAGUAGAAGGGAACUUUCUCAGCCUAAUAAAGGGCAUCUAUGAUAUUGAAAGCUUUCCCCCUAAGAUCAGGAACAAGACAUGGGUGGAUUUUUGCUGUCAUCACUUCUAGUCAACAUUGUAACGGAGGUUCUAGCCAGGGCAAUAAGACAAGAAGAAAUAAAAGGCGUUCGUAUUGUAAAGGAAGAAAUAAAACUCUUUCUGUGAGUGAUACGAUCUUGAAUGUAGAAAAUCCUGAGGAAUCUGGAAAAAAAAAAAAAACUAUUAGAGUUAAUAAA